rnacentral:rRNA from 1 species
UACGUAGGGGCCAAGCGUUGUCCGGAUUUAUUGGGCGUAAAGAGCUCGUAGGCGGUUCGGCAAGUCAGCUGUGAAAUCUCCACGCUCAACGUGGAGGGGUCAGCUGAUACUGCUGUGACUCGAGUCCGGUAGGGGAGUGUGGAAUUCCCGGUGUAGCGGUGAAAUGCGCAGAUAUCAGGAGGAACACCGGUGGCGAAGGCGGGUCUCUGGGCCGUAACUGACGCUGAGGAGCGAAAGCGUGGGGAGCGAACAGG